UAAAAGAUAAGCUAAUUUAAGCUAACGGGCUCAUACCCCGUAAAUGAAAGCUACUUCUUUCUCUUUUUA
rnacentral:tRNA from 1 species